CCUACGGGCGGCAGCAGUAGGGAAUAUUGCUCAAUGGGGGAAACCCUGAAGCAGCAACGCCGCGUGGAGGAUGAAGGUUUUCGGAUUGUAAACUCCUUUUGUUAGAGAAGAUAAUGACGGUAUCUAACGAAAAAGCAUCGGCUAACUCCGUGCCAGCAGCCGCGGUAAUACGGAGGAUGCGAGCGUUAUCCGGAUUUAUUGGGUUUAAAGGGUGCGUAGGCGGGAUGCCAAGUCAGCGGUAAAAAUGCGGUGCUCAACGCCGUCGAGCCGUUGAAACUGGCGUUCUUGAGUGGGCGAGAAGUAGGCGGAAUGCGUGGUGUAGCGGUGAAAUGCAUAGAUAUCACGCAGAACUCCGAUUGCGAAGGCAGCAUACCGGCGCCCUACUGACGCUGAGGCACGAAAGCGUGGGUAUCGAACAGGAUUAGAUACCCGUGUAGUC
rnacentral:rRNA from 1 species